UGGUUCUGGCAUCGAUGAAGAACGCAGCGAAAUGCGAUAAGUAAUGUGAAUUGCAGAAUUUAGUGAAUCAUCGAAUCUUUGAACGCACAUUGCGCCCCUUGGUAUUCCGAGGGGCAUGCCUGUUCGAGCGUCAUUAUGACCAUUCAAGCCUGGCUUGGUAUUGGGGUCCGCAAUCUAGCGGCCCUUAAAUCUAGUGGCGGUGCCCUCUGGCUCUAAGCGUAGUAAUUUUCUCGCUAUAGUGUCUAGGUGGUUGCUUGCCAAUAACCCCUUAUUUCUACGGUUUGACCUCGGAUCAGGUAGGGAUACCCGCUGA
rnacentral:misc_RNA from 1 species